rnacentral:lncRNA from 1 species
CAGAAUAAAUUGCUCCAUAUGCAUCAAAAACAUCAUAUGACUUUGUGCUAUGAGAUGGGAUAGCAUCUAUAUGUUUUUAUGAUCAUUCUGAAAUGCCUGAUCAAAGUCUGUCGUCAAAGUAUUUCUGUGUAACUGUCUUGCACAACUGCGCUCACAAACAGCAGGCAUCCACCUCUGAAAGCAAUGACUGCAUUUAUUGUGUUUUGUUUGCUCACUCUGAGGCCAAGUAAUUUAUUAUAUAUGAAACAAAUUAUUAUAUUCAGUGGCUUCUCCUAGUUUUUUUAGUACAAGUUUAUCAGGAAGUGACGUUUUUGUUCUCUUUGACUUGUAUGAUGGAAACAGUGCUUUAUUAGCAAAUGUUUUAUGCAAUAUUCUAGUUUUGCACACAAGUUAAAUUUGCAUCUUUGGAUGGAAACAUAGCUACAGAAUCUUCUGAUAUGAAACUACCCUUGAAUAGUUUAAAUGUGAUAUGUCAUGUGCAUUUAUUCUUUUAUGUCACAAUUAACCCUAAAAGGGACAACAUCUGUGGGGAGAUGCAGUAAAAUUGUAGGUCUUAUUUCUUGGUUUCAUUUUGAAAGGGUGUUUUGUUGUGAAUAUUUAGAUGACUAGUGACUUUUGUUUCUACAUUCUUUGUUUAGCUCACAGGAAGCAUUUAAAACUGCAUGGCCGCCUGUAGUGGGAAAUCUACUCACCCUCUGAUAACCUUUUAUAACUUUUUUUUUAAUUCUAUCUUUUUUUUUUUUUUACUGCUUUCACUUCAGCAAUAAUCUGCUAUGGGUAUGGGGGUAGAAUUGUUGCAUUUUUCCAAAUAAAUAGAUUAUGAUCCACAAAUAAAUGUAAAGAGUACAAAAAAUUAAACAUAUUGACAAAUAAAUAGAAUGAAAUCCACAAAUUAAUCUCAGAGUUUCAUAAACAUGAAUGACAAAUAAAAAAAAUGAGACUUGCAAAUAAAACAUAUUUUCACAAAUAUAUUUAUUUGUACAAAAGAAAUGAAAAUACAAUAUCAAAUCAGUAUAGCAAUGCUUACUUUGUUUUAUUGCAUUUUAUAAUGUAUUUUGCAAUUAUUAUUAUUAAUUAAGACAUGUUUUUUUUUUUAAGUAAUUGAUCAUUUAUUUUUAGCAAGGAUGCAUUAAAUUGCAACAUUUAAAAUUUGCUUUCUAUUCAUCAAAAUGAUCCUUAAAAAUAUCAUGUUUUCAGCAAAAAUAUUAUGUAGCACAUCUGAAUUGUUUCUUGAGCAGCAAAUCAGCAUAUUAGAAUGAUUUCUGAAGGAUCAUGUGACACUGAAUUCUGGAGUAAUGAUGCUGAAAAUUCAGCAUUGCAUCGCAGGAAAAAAUUACAUUUUACAACAUAUUGCAAUAGAAAAACAUUAUUUUGAAUUGUAUAAUAAUUUAAGAUAUUACUGUUUUAACUUUGUGCUUGAUUAAAUAAAUGCAGCUUUAGUAAGCACUGCAAUUCAUUGCAUUGAUACUGUGGAAAUACUGUUUGUUAAGCAAUCAAACCAAUAAAAACUAUUUGAAAAUGUAAUUACUUAACUCCUUAUGCACGUCAAAGCUAACAUAUAAUAACAGUAUUAUUCAAAUGUGUCAAAUCAAUGACAGCAACUACAAGUUCCUAGAUUUUAACCUGAGAAAAGGACCUUGUUUAAAGUUACUGUGAGGCCACAGGAGAAAUGAAACCUUAACUAGAAGUUUCAGAAAUAUAUCAAGAGGCCAUUUCAGGACGACUGCAUCACAGCUCGCACUGAGGAGAAGGCUUCCUCUAAAGAGGGUCAGGGUCUUUCAUUCCUCGUACGUCCAAUGCUUUCUAAUCAGAACAAUAAGUAUGUUCUACAUGGAACAAUAUUUGUUGUAAUGACCUCUCUUAGGCUUUUUGCAUGUUAUCUUUUCUUGUUAGUGAAAAACUGAAUCCUUGUCCAGGAGGAAGCUUUUUAAUGUACUAACGUUUCUAGCCCGAGUGGAUUUUAAAGAUUAACAAAUUAUAAAAGUGGAUGAACAUUUUGUGCAACCUGAUGGUCAAACUGAAUCAGACCGACUCAAAGUUGUGUACAAUAAUCUCUUAAUCAAGUGCUUAAUGAUUGCAAAAUCUUUAUGAAAUAAUGCAUUCUUAAUAAUAAGCAUUCGUUUUUACAUUACAUUUACAUUUAGUCAUUUAGCAGACGCUUUUAUCCAAAGCGACUUACAAAUUAGGACAAUGGAAGCAAUCAAAAUCAACAUAAGAACAAUGAUACACAAGUGUUAUAACAAGUCUCAGUUAGUUUAAGUAAUGACACGU